rnacentral:lncRNA from 1 species
AAAGCAGGUCCUGGAGGACUUGCAGUGGGCAAUAAUUGUCCCAGCCCCAUAAGGUUGUUGAGAGGAUCAAAUGCAUAGAAGGUUGAAACCCUGAUCCCUAAUGUGAUGAUAUCAGGAGGCAGGACCUUUGAGAGGUGACUUGGUCAUGAGGGUGGAGCCCCCAUGAACGGGCUUAGUGCCCCUAUAAUGAGGCCCCAGAGAGCUCUCUUGCCCCUUCUGCCACGUGAGGACACAGAGAGAAGACAGCUGCCCGUGAACCAGGAAGCAGGCUCUCACCAGACGCCGAAUCUGCCGAUGCCUUGAUCUUGGACUUCCAGCCUCCAGAGCGCUGCAUGCAGAUGACAAGGCCCAAGGGGAUGGCAGAGCCACAAGAUGGAAAGGGCCUGGGUUCUUAAAUGUCCGUGUGGAGGAGAGAUGCUUCUCUGGCCUGACCACCCAGCCAGGACUGGUACUCUGUAAGAAGCCGUCUUCUGUGGUGUUUAGAUCGAGUGGGUGCUACAAUGGAGCCCGCCCUGACUGCUAUUCCUGUAAUGCAAACCCGAGUGCAGGUAUUGGUGUGCCCACUGGAGGUGUCGGAGUGAAGGAGACAGACUGGGUGCAGGAUCUCAUCGAGUUCACGGCCAAAGUCAAUUAUUGCGUGGUCUGUGCUCUGAGAGGGGCCCUUCUUUGGGGCGUGACAGAGCACUUCCUGGAGGAAGCAGAGGUCUGAUGGAUGUUUUAUUAGUCACCUAGAGCUGCCUUAACAGACACCAGCAGCUGGGUGGCACACAACAACACAAGUUUAUUCUCUCACAGUUCCUGAGUCUAGAAGUCCCAAAUCCAGGCAUUGGCCGGGCCGUGCUCCUUCUGCAGGCUCUGGGGAGAGUCUGUUCCACGCCUCUCUCCUAGUUUCUGGUGUUGCUGGCAGUCCUUGGUAUUCCCUGGUGCUAAGGACCAAAUGUUUGUGUCCCCCCAAAUUCGUAUGUUGAAACCCUAAUCCCCAAUAUGAUGGUGUUUGGAAAUGGGGCCUUUGAGAGGCAAUUUGGUUUAGCUGAGGUCAUGAGGGUGAGGCCCUCAUGAAGGUAUUAGUGAGCUUAGAGACAAGACAGAGCUUGCAUCUCUCUUCACUCUCUGCCAUGUGAGGAUGCAAUGACGAGAUGGCCAUCUGCAAACUAGCAGGUGGGUCCUCACUAGACACCAGAUCUGCCAGCACCUUAUCUUGGACUUCCCAGCCUCCAGAACUGUGAGAAAGAAAUGUUUGUUGUUUAAGCCCCCCUGUCUAUGGUAUUUUGUUAUGGCAGUCUUAACUGACUAUAAGACACUGGGUUUGUAGACUCAUCACGCCAGUCUCUGCCUCUAUGAUCACACGGCAUUUCCCUCAUGUCGCUCUGUCUCUGUGUGUCUUCUCUUCUCAUAGGGCAGCAGUCAGAUUAGAUUGUGGGCCCACCCUACUCCAGUCUGAUCUCAUCUUGACUUGAUUACAUCUGCAAAGACCCUAUUUCCAGAUAAGGUCACAUGCACAGGUAGCAAGGGUUCGAAGCUGAACAGAUCUUUUUGGGGGAUACUAUUCAACCCACAAUAGAUAUGUGGAGUAAGCAGGGGAAAUUUGAGGAAGAGUAUUCCAGGCAGAGGGAACAGCAGAUGCAAAGGCACCUCCAGAGGCAGACGGGUGCAGGUGAGUUCCAGGAAAUAAAAGAAAUUCAUCCCAGCUAGAGCGGAGAGUGGGUAUAAGAUGUGGCUGAGGUGGCCCAUGCCGGGCUUCCCACGAGCUGUGUGGAAUGGGCAGUCUUGGCUAGUCUGCAAUUCGAGAUAAAUGCCCAGAUCUCAGCAGCUUCACACAGUACAGCUUUAUUUCUUGCUCGUGUCAAGUCCGGUAUAUGUGGCCACAUAUGUAGCUCUGUCAUGCAGAACACAUGGUCUCCAGGGGAAGACGUGUCUGGGGGAAGCCCCCAGUAUCAACCACCCAGGCCUGGAAGUGACCCUUCCACUCACAGGCCACACACAAGGGAGGUUGGCAGGGGGCACGAUUUCUGUGAGCCCCAACUCUCUCUCUUACCCUAUUCAGGGUUAGGACUUAAUCCUCAGGGCACUGGGAAGCCAGCCAGGGUUUUCAUGCACAAUGUGGAGUGUGACAAGAUCUGACUUGUGUUUUAGAAAGUUUCCUACAGCUGGAGGCAGAGUCAGCCCUGAAGCCAGAGAGCCCGAGCCCAUGGGGCUGUGGUGGGGGGAGUGGCCUGAGUGGAAAUUGGUCAUAGCAGUCACAACAUUUUUGCAGGUAACUCCUGCAACUUCCACCUUGCAGGCUCAGCCCCAAAGAAAGGAGAUGUGAGAAAGAUUAGUGUAAUUUAAAAAACUUUCAAAACGCAUUUUGUGUCUGUCCUCUCUAUUCUAGAUUGGCAAUUGUAUUUAUUCUUACACGUAGAUUGCUUGACAGCAUGAAUCUCCAAAGCCAGGGGACUGUGCUCUGUGGGCCGCUUAAGGGAUUUUCAGGCAUGACUGCGCUCCUUGCUGAUUGGAGAACCUCACUGUCAUGGAAGAUGCCCUCUACUCAGGGUCUGUAACUGGGACUCAAUAACAGGAGCGAGAUCCGUGUGUCAGAGGGACUUCUUGCUGCUUCCAGCCAGCCCGGUGCCCUGCCUCUGUCGGAAACGCCCUUGGAGGCAGUAUGAAAGCAUUCUGUGCUGAGAUGGACCCCCACUUGUCUGCAGUUCUUUACAGAAAUAUUAAGAAAUAUUUUCUAAGCCAUU